rnacentral:rRNA from 1 species
AUACGUAGGGUGCAAGCGUUAAUCGGAAUUACUGGGCGUAAAGCGUGCGCAGGCGGUUUUGUAAGACAGUGGUGAAAUCCCCGGGCUCAACCUGGGAACUGCCAUUGUGACUGCAAGGCUGGAGUGCGGCAGAGGGGGAUGGAAUUCCGCGGGGAGCAGGGAAAUGCGUAGAUAUGCGGAGGAACACCGAUGGCGAAGGCAAUCCCCUGGGCCUGCACUGACGCUCAUGCACGAAAGCGUGGGGAGCAAACAGGAUUAGAUACCCUGGUAGUCCACGCCCUAAACGAUGUCAACUGGUUGUUGGGGAUUUAUUUUCUCAGUAACGAAGCUAACGCGUGAAGUUGACCGCCUGGGGAGUACGGCCGCAAGGUUAAAACUCAAAGGAAUUGACGGGG